GAUAUAUCAUUGUUUUUACGGGUUUUUGGCCAUGAUAUAAGUCUUAUUUAUAGAGCUUUUAUAGUGUUUUCGAGUCUUUUGCAGUCAUUUCAUGAUUAGGAGCUAUUUGGCAUGGAUUGGAGCUUUUGGAGCAUUUGGGAGCAUUUGGAGAAGAUGUGCCGAAGGAACGUACCAGGAGAGCAUAUUUGGUGUGAGUGUCGAGCGUCACAACCUAUGGUGUCGAUCGACACCAAUAUCUGACGGCAAUUGAAUUUCUCGCUUAAUUGAAGUUCAGAAGAUUUGCAGAUUCGGCCCAGAAGUUUCCCUUAUUUGCAAUUAAGCCCAGUUCGUGGUUAAGACAUAUAUAUUGAGUUUUUAGGGUUUUGUUAAGACUUAAGCUUUAUUUUAUAGAGAGAGAGAUUUGUAGAGAGCCAGGUGAGAAGAAUCCAAACCUCUUUCAGAGAAGAGUCAGAACUCCUUUACUUCUUCUAUUACUUUCUUUUAUGAUAUCUAUUUUAUUCAUGAUGUUUGUUUCAUUCACCAUGUUUGAGUAGAUUUCUUGUUAGAUUUAGGGUUUUCAAAGGAAUUUAUGAAUUGUUAGGUUGUUAGACUGUUAGGAUUGAAUUAAUAGAGUUCUUCAUCUAGAUUGUGGUUAAUUUGUUCUAGAGUAGUGAAAGCAACCUAGAAUCUGAUCUUAGGUUAAUUGGUAGACACGAAAGUGUUAUUGAUUUCCUGAAAAUAAUCUAAAUGAGCAAAAUUCCUAUUCGCAAAGCGAUUUGGUUUAGGGAUUUUAUGAACUUAUCAAACCUGAAUUAAAUGCAUGUCUGAAACUCAUAAAUUUGCAAAGAGAUUUGGAAUUUAGGGUUUUAGACAUAGAUAGUCUUUGCAACGAAAGUUAAUUGAUUAUAAUUUUGUGAUUUGAGUUCAAGAACGGUGCUUUGUAAAUCCUGAAAUUAUUUAUUUACAAUUCUGAAUUUCCUGAGAAUAUCGCUAGGCCUAGUGUUUCCUCAUUACUGUUUAAAAACCAAUCUUUAUUUUAAUUUGCUGUUUUUAUUUUAUUUAAAACCUGCUUGCUUAGCUUAAUUUUAAUACCGAAUAUUUACUGUGUAAUCUUUGAGUCUCUAUGGAUUCGAUCCCUAAGUACUACAAUGAUCUCUUAAUUGAGAGAGUAACUCAAGGCAAAUAUGAGCCGAUCAAAGAUUGGUGAAGUGGAAGUGCUAACUGACUUGUUAGAAGAUUUCAGGGCAAAUUUCCACAUGGCUUGUUAGAA
rnacentral:lncRNA from 1 species